rnacentral:rRNA from 1 species
GACGAACGCUGGCGGCGUGCUUAACACAUGCAAGUCGAACGGACAGGCCCUGCUUUUGUGGGGUGCUCGAGUGGCGAACGGGUGAGUAACACGUGAGUAACCUGCCCUUGACUUUGGGAUAACUUCUGGAAACUGCGGCUAAUACCGGAUAUGAGCUCUUGAUGCAUGGUGGGGGUUGGAGAGUUUCGGCGGUUGGGGCUGGUCUCGCGGCUUAUCAGCUUGUUGGUGUGGUAGUGGAUUACCAAGGCUUUGACGGGUAGCCCGCCUGAGAGGGUGACCGGCCACAUUGGGACUGAGAUACGGCCCAGACGCCUACGGGAGGCAGCAGGGGAGAAUAUUGCACAAUGGGCGGAAGCCAGAUGCAGCAACGCCGCGUGCGGGAUGACGGCCUUCGGGGUGUAAACCGCUUUCGCCGGUGACGAGGCGUGAGUGACGGUAAUGGGUAAAGAAGCACCGGCUAACUACGUG